GCAGUAGCUCAUCUGUAGAGCAGCUGCUUUGCAUGCAGAAGGUCCAUGGUUCAAUCCCUGGCAUCUCCA